rnacentral:misc_RNA from 1 species
GAUGAAGAACGCAGCGAAAUGCGAUAAGUAAUGCGAAUUGCAGAAUUCCAGUGAGUCAUCGAAUCUUUGAACGCACAUUGCGCCCUUUGGUAUUCCGAAGGGCGUGCCUGUUCGAGCGUCAUUAUCACCCCUCAAGCCCUCGGCUUGGUGUUGGACGGUUUGGUGGAGGCCCCCUCGGGGGUUCCUGCCCCUCCCAAAGACAAUGACGGCGGCCUCGUUGGACCCCCGGUACACUGAGUUCUUCACGGGACACGUAUCGGACACAUGGGUUUACGGGACACGGUCUGCCUCCCCUCAGGGAGAAUCUUUCUAAGGUUGACCUCGGAUCAGGUAGGGAUACCCGCUGAACUUAAGCAUAUCAAUAAGCGGAGGA